GCUCUGGCUCACUGCUGAAGCAGCUUUACGCCCAGUUUCCACUCCCUCCUUGCGAAGAUAACAACGGGUUUCUGCCAACAGGCAAGGCAGGGCGCAGGCUCGUUGCACUAACGCCGUAGGAAAUGGCUGUCAGAAGAAAUCACGCUUCCACUCUACCUCGAGAUUCACACGUUGCUUCCACCAUCCUCUGGAGCAGCGCUGGAAGCCUACCUACGUGCUCAGGAGUCGCUCAGAUUCUUCAAAAACUAACAAUUUAAUCAAAAUCUGCGCGACACAGCAGUUGUUGACCCACUGAACAGAUUCAAAGUGAAGACUGGGAUGUUUCCUGGCAGAGGGUGAGAUAUCUGCCACAUCCAGGAGAUGGUUAUCAAGAAAUUUAUCAGUUAAAGCAAGAGAUACUUGCUCUGGAAGGAGUUUACUCGGUCACGUCCCGUAAAUGGGUGUGGAAAAAGGGCAGAAGUACAAAAAGGGAAACGGAAUGGGAGAAAUUAAGCCCUCAGUGCUGGUUUUGCACGACACCCAGAGGAACAUUGCGGCUACUGCGAAAUGAAAACAUUCCAGCCCCGAGGAACUGCAAGGUAAGGGGAAAUCCCGUGCAGCUGGGUGAUGGGGUCUGGUGUUUUUGGUGUUUUGCUGGCUGACGCCGCGAUUGUUGAAGGGAGGAGUGUGGGUGGGGUUUAGCAAUAAGCUGAGGAGGGUAAGCGAACGACCUAACCUUUCAUUAAGCCUUCCUCCUCGCGUCUCAGCGGCUCCAAACGUGAGGGGAUGCGUUUGAUAAACAGAAAAACGCAGUUGGGAACCCAGAGGCUGGAUGUCUGAUGGCAGAACCUCCGUGAAAGGAAAAAAACCCUCCCCAGUGUUCCUACAAAGCUAAUUAUGAGAAUUCUCCAACCCACAAACUUCAAAAGGUUGAUCUGCAAUGCAACGAGCCAGCGGGCAGAAGGAAAAAUACCUCGCAUAUUUUUCUUCCUCUAUGCGUUUGAGUUCUGCGACGGCCUCAGCCAGUAACUUCUUCUCCUGAGCAAGCUCUUCCUGCUCCUUCGCGUUUCUCUGCACUGUAAAAAAAAAAAAAACACAAAAAGACUUUUAGAAGAUAAAAGUCUAAAAAGUCUCAGCCUAAACAGCAAGCCUGAGAUUUGUCAUUUCCCAGGAGGCACCCAAAAAAUAGGAAGCUUCACAUUCAUGCAGCCAGUUAAGUAGAAGUGGUUUUAGUUUCGGAGGAUCUGGAAGUUCCUUAGAAGUCGUUACAAGAAAAGAGCUUUCUUCUGCAUGAUUUUAAAUGAGUGAAACAUUGCAAUUGAGCUUGGAAUAAGAACUUUGAUGUUUUACAACCAGGAUUUUCAGAGCUUCCGAUUCCUUCCUGUCAUUAUUUUUUAAAAAAGCAGUGGGAUAUUUAUCUCGCCAACAUCAGCUUUCGGUGCCCUGCACGACCAGUCAAUUGCUACGCAUCAACAGCUGCAAAAUGAAGAUGAAGUUUGAAGUAAAUCACAAAGUCAACGCUAAAUGCUGCUCUGCCAAAGUCAGCUCAGCUACACUGCAAGCUCCCCCUGCAGGGAGUUGGCUGCCAGUGCUCACAGCUCUGUUGGAUCGGAGCGCUGGGGAGGAGCAGUGGGAGAAGGGGCUGAGAAGAUAAAAAGCUCCCCACCGUUUCCAUCUCCCACAAAAGCUUUUAGAAGCUUUGAAGGCUAAAAUCCACGACGUGCUAAGUUUCAAAGGCCGUCUUUCCCUCUGUCAACAGGAACGCAUUCGCCACGGCUCUGGCAAAGAGGCUUAGCAUGACAGGAGAGCCUCAGAUAGUAACAAAAUCAGCGAGGAUACAAAUAAAGCGUGGAUUAAUUUCAACGUCUUGUAAGCCUAACGUGAAAAGGGACUUUCAAAGAGUACUGAAUUGAGGAUGAUCUGGAAAUUACCAGCAAUCGAGCCUCUUCUUCCUUCAGCCGCUUCUCCUCCUCUUUGUGAGCGCUGAGCGCUGCUACCUGGGCGCCGAGGACGUCCAGGAUUUCCCGAUUCUGUUUGGAUAAUUUCUGCACAUCCACCGCCUCUCGCCUUUCCUUAGCCAACCUGUCCUCCUUCCAAAGCUCUGCGAACAUCUCCUCCUCCUCCUCCCGCUGUUUUUUCAGUUCCUCCUUCAGAGUUAGCUGGGCCAGCCGCUCCGUGCACAAUUCCCUCUGAUGCUGCUUCAUCCGCUGCGUGCGGAGCUCAUCGCAUUGUUCUCUGGAUGGCGACAUAAACGAUAAAAAAGGAAAAAGGAGGUGAGGGGGUUCGAAAUAAUAAGCAUAAUUUGGAGAUCCACGAUGGAUGGAGGGCUCCAGCUCCUAACUACACGGAAGACUGCAGCUCGUGAUGAGGAUUUCUCCACCUGGCCUGGCACUGAUUCCUUCUGAGUCAGAAAGAAUAACUGACAACCUGAUUUCGUGGAGAUUUUGGCAUUAAGGACUUGAAGAGCAGGCCCUGUAUUGCUGUUUGUUUCAAAAAAAACCCACACGUGCACAAUAUAUAUGCAUAUGCUCACCGGAUAUUCCUUUAUACAUACAUUAUAUGUGCAUAUAUAGAGUCAGAGCAUGAAUUAUGUGGUUUUUUUACAUGCACACGCAUAUUUUUAACGUAUAAAACACACUUGUUCAAACAUUUAGGUUGCUCUUCAUUCAAAUAAAGCCCUAGACUAGUUUACAGGUCGCUUGAAAGCUCAGUCCCAAUCUGAAAACUAUUUAAGAGCAGAAAUUUAGGUUACACUGUUAACCAAGAACCACUCGAAUUGCAUUAAAUUUGAAGUUUUGUGGGAUAUUUCGUAGAAGCUGCAAGAAAAGAAACGACCAAACUAAAUUUAACAUGAACAACCAUUUUUAAAAAUGUGGUUUUAAACCCAUUUUAAACCCAUUUUGUGUUUUUAAUGUGUUUUUAAACCCCUUUAAUGUGUUUUUCAAACCGUUUUCAAACCAGGACAUAUUUUUAACCCUGGGAUCCUUCUUCCGACUCCCAGGUAGUCGUUAAUGGUGAUUACGGACUACAGGACUAAUUGAUAUUCACGAAAAAUGUUUUUCAACUGUUCUGAGGAAAAACAUUGCCAUAAUUAAGAUUGGAAAUGUACCAUUAGAAAGAACUGUGUUACCUGAACACAGCGGGUUCAAAGUUCUCUCAGCAGUGAAAGGAUAAAGAAUGAUUUCUUCUUUUUCACCUUUCUAAACUCAUCUGAAUUUAAUUGAAUUCUCGGAGGAGAAGAGAAGUUCAAUCAAAGCUCGGCACGGGUCGAAUUUUACUACGAAAUCCCUCUGUAAUUGCGCGAUUUCAUCAAAAGAAAUUCCUUUCGAGCAGCUUUGAGAGCGACGUAUAAACAUCUGCUCUCCCAGAUGGCUGCUUCGCUUCCUCACUUUGCUACCCUAAGCUUCUUAACAUCCCAGUUGUGCCCGCCUGGAGCCGCUUCCCAAAGACAGAAGCUGCGUUUAUUCCCCACCCCUCCCAGUUAUUUAUUCAUUUUAUGGCUGUUGUAUAAAGUUGCUGCGAUAACAACGUCCUCUGCAUGAAUACUUCUGAUAUUACCACAAGAAAAAGGAGGUGAUGGAGUUUUUAUGCCAGUUUUAAGAUGUUGCAGGUUGGUUUUUGUUAAAGAUACCAGCGUGGGGCAGAGAAAAGCCCGCUCAAGCCCACGAUGAAACGCUCCACCCUUUCCCACAAGGUUCAACGUUCAGUUUUGCACAGGAAAAGGGCAGGCUCGCAUCAGGUUCCCUAUUUAUCUGGCUCCUAAGAACGCCAGCAACGAGUAGCACCACAAAUAGAGCAGAUUUUGGUCACAGCUGGCACACAAAGCCCCAAUUUUUAGGUGAAAAAAACAAAAAAGCAGGUGCUGCAGAUUUUCUACCACCGUGGGAGACUUAGAAGCGACGUUUCAAAUGAUUCCGCUUACAUUAACGUGAUUUUCAUCCCUCAGCCAAGCAGAUCUCCAAGAAUUGAACAAGUCAGAUGGGAUGCCAAGGCCUCGGGAACCUGAGGAACACCCGCAAAUCUCAACGACUUCAAAGGUCGUUGCCAAAUUUGGCAUCCAGGAGGAUUCAGCAGGGAAUUUCAGGUUGCAUUACAGCUUUAUUUCCUGAAAAGUGGGCAAUAAAUAAAGCCAGCAGCCUUGGGCAACCCUAACUUCCCAAGGGCUUUCCAUAUAUGAGCUUAAGAAGCAGGAUUUAGGCCAAAUAAUUCUUCCAGGAACUCUUUUCAUAACACUGAGCUAAAACUCUACCCAAGAACUACAAAAACAUCCAAUUUGGCAGGGGAUUCUCACACAGGACAAGGAUUUCUGCACUUUCUGUCACCUUCUUGUUAAAUCGCCUUUUAGGAUUUCCUUCCCCCAACUCUGUUUGAUAUUGUUCUGGACCCACCUGAAUUGCUGCUCCCGUUUUUCAGCCACCAGCUGCUGCCUUUCCUUCUCCCUCUCCUCCCGCAAUAAUUUCGCUCGCUCCCUCAUUUUCGCUUGCUUCUCCAGCAGGGUUUCUUCAAACGCCUCCAUCUCAGCCAAGUAUUUAUUUUCCUCGGCCUCCAGAAGCUCGCGAAGCCUGAAGUGAAGAAAACACUCGAAUAAAAACCAGAAUAAUUUA